UUGGAGGGCAAGUCUGGUGCCAGCAGCCGCGGUAAUUCCAGCUCCAAUAGCGUAUAUUAAAGUUGUUGCAGUUAAAAAGCUCGUAGUUGAAUUUCGGGAUCAGUACGCCGGUCGUGCCUCCGGUAUGUACUGGUGUUACUGGUUCCUACCUUCUGACGAACCGUCAUGUCAUUAAUUUGGUGUGGCGGGGAAUCAGGACUGUUACUUUGAAAAAAUUAGAGUGUUUAAAGCAGGCUCGCGCUUGAAUACAUUAGCAUGGAAUAAUGAAAUAGGACGUUCGAUCCUAUUUUGUUGGUUUCUAGGAUUGACGUAAUGAUUAAUAGGGAUAGUUGGGGGCAUUAGUAUUCAAUUGUCAGAGGUGAAAUUCUUGGAUUUAUUGAAGACUAACUACUGCGAAAGCAUUUGCCAAGGAUGUUUUCAUUAAUCAAGAACGAAAGUUAGGGGAUCGAAGACGAUCAGAUACCGUCGUAGUCUUAACCACAAACUAUGCCGACUAGGGAUCGGAUGAUGUUAUUUUUAAUGACUCAUUCGGCGCCUUACGGGAAACCAAAGUGUUUGGGUUC
rnacentral:rRNA from 1 species